GACAGAGGGUGCAAACGUUGUUCGGAAUUACUGGGCGUAAAGCGCGUGUAGGCGGCUCUGCAAGUCGGAUGUGAAAUCCCACGGCUCAACCAUGGAAGUGCAUUCGAAACUGCAGGGCUAGAGUUCUGGAGAGGAAGGUGGAAUGCUUGGUGUAGAGGUGAAAUUCGUAGAUAUCAAGCGGAACACCGGUGGCGAAGGCGGCCUUCUGGACAGUAACUGACGCUGAGACGCGAAAGCGUGGGGAGCGAACAGG
rnacentral:rRNA from 1 species